rnacentral:rRNA from 1 species
CCUACGGGGCGCAGCAGUGGGGAAUAUUGGACAAUGGGCGAAAGCCUGAUCCAGCCAUGCCGCGUGUGUGAAGAAGGCCUUCGGGUUGUAAAGCACUUUCAGUGGGGAAGAAAGCCUUGGGGCUAAUACCCUCGAGGAAGGACAUCACCCACAGAAGAAGCACCGGCUAACUCCGUGCCAGCAGCCGCGGUAAUACGGAGGGUGCGAGCGUUAAUCGGAAUUACUGGGCGUAAAGCGCGCGUAGGCGGUCUGAUAAGCCGGUUGUGAAAGCCCCGGGCUCAACCUGGGAACGGCAUCCGGAACUGUCAGGCUAGAGUGCAGGAGAGGAAGGUAGAAUUCCCGGUGUAGCGGUGAAAUGCGUAGAGAUCGGGAGGAAUACCAGAGGCGAAGGCGGCCUUCUGGACUGACACUGACGCUGAGGUGCGAAAGCGUGGGUAGCAAACAGGAUUAGAUACCCGAGUAGUC